GCCUGCGUUGCACAGUGGUAGUGCGUAGCUUUCCUAUAUAUAGGGGUGUUCUAACCCCUAUUCGGAGCGAGGCUGAGGUCGUGGGUUCGACACCCACCGUGGGUU